GGCACUUAAUUACUGAGCUAUAUCCCCAACCUUUUUUUAAAAAUUUUUUAAAUUUUAAGACAGGGUCUUGCUAAGUUGCUGAGACUGGCUUUGAAAUUGUGAUGCUCCUGCUUCAGCCUCCUGAAGUUGCUGGAAUUACAGUUCUUUGUUUGGAAGCCAAGAACCUGGACCCCAACUGGACUCUUCACUGAUAUCACAUCUACUUCUUCAGAUUCAUCACUUCGAUGGUUUCUAUGGAGCCCUGUUGCCUUUGGAGGAGGGAGCUACCUGUAGAGUCUCAGGAUAGUUCACUCUCCCAGACUUUUUGAUGCAUUUCUUAAAAAAGAAGAGAAGCAAGAAGGGGAACUGGAGAGGAAUGAGGGAAAAAAUAAAAUAAAAGCUAAAUGUGAAUAGAUCAUCCUACUACACAUUGCACUUCACACAUUAACUGCCAAGACAGAUUCCCUGUUUUUCUUGAGUAGAAAUCAGACUUCCUUCUCUAAAUUGUACUUACUCAAAAAUUUAACAAAAAACAUACAAUCAGGAAGAAAAUUGAGAGAUCAUUCUGUUAAGCUGUCUGGCUUCAAGGUGCUGAGUCUUUGCUGGACAUUUCAGUAAAAUAAUUGAAAAACUUAUGUAAAAUAGUAUUAUAGGUGAUGGGGCAGGCUCCUAGGAUGAAAUAACAGGGUGCCUGAAGUUAAAUUAUUAUUAUUUUGUAGAAUAAGCAUCAGUUUUAUUUUGGAGGAUUAGGAUCAGUGGUAGGAAAACAAUUUGUGCAUGGGCCCCUUGGUGCAUGUCACCUUGGGAAAGGAUUGGGGGUUGGAGCAGAAUUGUGAGGCAAAGGAGGACUAGCUCUUGGCUCUGACUUGGCACACCUUUUCAGGGCCUGUGACAUGUUUUCCAGGCCCUACUGCCUAGUAUUUCAAAGCACCUAGUCAUUGCUGUCUGCAUCAGUCUCUAGUAAGGAAGGACAGGUCCUGACUCACAAGGUGUGAUCCAGAUCAUCACUAUCAUCAAUAGUAGGUUUGGAAGGAAAACAUCAAAUUGUGUGAAGGUGGGAGAAGUUAUCACAAAUUGUUAAUUCAUGACACUCUUAAGAAUAAUGGCAAUAUUAAAAACAAAACAAAAACGCAGGCUGGGGUUACAGCUCAGUGGCAGAGUAGUUGCCUAGCAUGCAUGAGGACCAAAAAAAAAAAAAAAUUAAAAAACAAACCCACUGCAUUCUAUGAGGCUGUUGUGAGAAGCAAACUAGGAAGGAAACCAAAUGCAGACCCUUUGAAUGCCACAGAAACAGGCCCCAGAUCAUGCAUCAACCCCUGUAUCAAAAUCAGAGCAUGAGACACUAGGGUGGGAGAGUGAUUGAAUUUCACAGAUUAAGAGCCUAUGAUGAGAAGCCAGGCAUGAUGAUGCAUGCUUGUAAAAUCAGCAACUCUGGAAGCAGGGUGGAUCACAAGUUGAAGGCCAGCCUCAGCAAUUUAGCAAGGCCUGAAGCAAUUUAGUCUCAAAAAAUAAAAAGGGCUGUGGAUGUAACCCAGUAGCUAAGUGCCCCCUGGGUUCAAUCCCCAGUACCAAAAAAAAAAAAAAAACAA